rnacentral:rRNA from 1 species
UACGAAGGGGGCUAGCGUUGCUCGGAAUUACUGGGCGUAAAGGGCGCGUAGGCGGCACUGUUAGUCAGGCGUGAAAUUCCUGGGCUCAACCUGGGGACUGCGCUUGAUACGGCAGAGCUAGAGGAUGGAAGAGGCUCGCGGAAUUCCCAGUGUAGAGGUGAAAAUUCGUAGAUAUUGGGAAGAACACCGGUGGCGAAGGCGGCGAAUCUGGGUAGAGUACUGACGCUGAGGUGCGAAAGCGUGGGGGAGCAA